rnacentral:lncRNA from 1 species
AAAGGUUUUACGAUCAAUCAUCCAUCAUAAUAAGCACAAGAAUGACAAGUUUUGAUUCUCAAAUAAAUUCUUAUAAAACACAACCAUGGAUUAAGAUUGUCAGGAAAUGGGAAUGCAAUACAAAGUAAUUAAUGACACAGUCACAGUGUUUCACUUACACGUGAAGCAAACGAAACAAGAAGAAUCUUAAGAAAAAAACACUCACCAGAACGCAAGGUUCAAUCCGGGCUUAGCCCCUCUAACCACAGUUCGUCAAGAGAUUGGAAACAGAGACGAAAAGCAUUUUGAGUGGCUUCAUCCUCCCAUUGAAGCCUUCUCCACCAGUCUUCACCUCCACGAAUAAGAAUUCGGCGCCCCUUUGCACUAUUUGAAUCGAGUGGAAGCUUUUCAAGCGAAUCGCAAUACUCCACUUUCAAUUCUUUCAGACGUGGGAGAGGCAAGGGCUUCCAGUAAAUGCUCUUCAAAUUGCGCAGUCCCCAUAAGUGAAGACGCUGGAGUUUUGCGAAAGGGCAGCUUAUUAUUCCCGUCAUCUCAAGAAUGUCAUCAAACUCUCCAGUACUGAUUAUUUCUUCCAUGUCAUAGCAAUGGUCUACGUAAAUAGACUUGAGGUUUGGAGCAAAAACGAGGAAUGUCAAUUGUUUCAAAUUUCUGCAAUAGCUUACGGUAACUUUCUCAAGGCUGCGGAAAACAUAAGGUUGGCGCGAUUUUUGUACCAUAUCUUUGUAGUCAAUCUUCAGUCCCCCAGGCCAACCACAACGAGAAAAGUAUAAUGUAUUGAGCUGCUCUAGAUCUGCUAAAUCUCCAACAUCAAUCGACUCCUCCCUACCGAACUCAUGGAGAAAAAGAGCUUGAGUACAACUUCGUAACUUCUGUGAGCUCAAAAAUGUUUGGUAAGCCUCAAAACUCCUGAAGGUGAUCUCCAGUACCUCUAAAUAUUUCAAACCGAGCAAUUCCUCUGCUACAUUCUCAUGCCAAGAGCUAAACAGUCCGUAAGGUGAUCUAAUACCAAUACCAAACAUUCUCAACACACGUAACCUUGAAAAAUUAGAUAACAGUUGCUGUGGAACUUCAACUAACUCGUCUGCCCAGUCCAAAUUCAAACAUUUAAGAUUUACCAACGCUUUUAACUCUUCGGGUAACUCUCUAACGCUUGUAUUUGAAAUAUCAAGGUGUUGUAGUGAAACCAACUUUGAGAUCCCCAUUGGUAAUUGCUGUAGCAUUCUAUUAUCUGACAUCUUCAAAACUGUUAGACAAGGCAUAGACUGGAAGAAGUCAUCGGUGAUCGUCGUCCACUCAUUAUCGUUAAGAAACAAAGUAAGAAGAUGAGGGCAUGUAGGAACAGUUGGUAGAUUUUCAAUUGAAUUUGUCAUCAAUGAUAAUCUUCUCACCAUUUCCCAUCCUCUGACAUCUGCAGGUGCCUCCGUUAAUCCGGAACCUGCAUAAACCAAAAAGCCCUCCUUCUCCUUCUCAAUCUCACAAGUUAUCCACAAUGCCAUAUCGCGGAUGACGUCAUGCAUUUUUACUUGAUCAUCUUCUACCUCUUCUAAUAAACAUGCACGAACAAGAGUGGCCACGAUGUAGUAUCCUUGGUUUUGUGUGCCAAGCUUGUCUUCAUCCAAAAACCCCUCGCAAAUCCAGCAAUCAAUCAAGUCUCUUUUAUAUAUACUGUAAUCUUCUGGAUAUAAACAACAAUAUAAGAAACAAGAUCUGAUUGCAUCGUUUGGCAAGCAAUCAUAGCUGAAUUUUAAAAGAGGAUAUACCUCCUUUCCCAAACCUGCAAAUUCGGAAGCUGAUCUUCUUAAAACUUCAAUCGCAUACCUCCAUUCUUCAGGAGUCUUUUUGUAGGCCAUGGCUCGACCAAUAGUAAUAAGCGCGAGCGGCAAUCCAUCGCACUCCUUUGCCACAGUUUGAGCUAGUUCAGGAAUACUAUGAUGACUCUCAAUAGUUUCUUCCCCAACUUUCUCUCGAAAUAGCUCCCAAGCAUCCUCAUCGGAUAAGCAUGCCACUUUGAACAUCCUACGAGCUUCCAUGCGGCCACAAACAUCAACGAAACGGGUUGUAAAUACCACUGCACUAUUUUUUGGGCUGUUACUACGACUAGGAAGAGGGACGCCUACCUUCUUUAAAUCAACCCGCUCCCAUAGAUCAUCCAACAACAAAGCAAACUUCUUCUUGCUUAAAGUCUUGAAGAUGUCCUGAGCUUUCUCUUCGAGUCUUUUGUCCUUCCAUGAAUCAGUAUAUAGACCUAUCUUUUUCCCGAUAGUUUCUUGAAUUUUUUCAAGCUGCAGGUCUUUGGACACCACAACCCAAAUCACAUAAUCAAAAUCUGUUGGAUAAUCAACAAAUUUAUUAUUGAUUUCGUUUAACAGUGUAGUUUUACCGACACCGCCCAUGCCGUAUAGGCCAAUUAUACCAGCUACAUGUUCUUGUACAAGACAUCUCCAAACUUGUUCAAGUUGUGAUUGCAAGCCUACCACCGUUGGCUCAGUAGGUCUUUCAUCUGCCACAGAUAUUAAUUCUGGAUCUGGCGCGGCCACCUCUUCAAAAACUCCUUCCCCCUUUAAGGCCUUCACAUCUCGCAGCAUUUUAGCAACUUUUCUACCAAACUUGUAGCUUGACUUGCAGUUCCUGGAGCAGUAGCCUCCAAGACACAAUUUGUCAAUUUCCUGAGAGCCACCAUCUCUUCCCAUGAGUUCAUCAACUUCAGUUUUAAGAGUCUCCACCCUCGACAGCCAAAGCUGCACUUGGUUCAGCCUCUUCAUUUUGUGUUGGUGUUCAGCAUCGAGGACCCUCGUCAUCACAUCGUUCUCUGCAGCGAUUAGUUGUUCCAAUUCAGUCGUCAAGGCAACAACAUUAUCUUUGAGGUCAGUUAUAUAUGCCGCUUUGCCAAGAGCGCAGUCUAGGCAAAGAUUGAACAUUGCGCCGUCGCAAGAGAAUGAGAUUUGCAAAAUGUUACCCAUAAUGUAUCUCACUUGUAUGUAUGAAUUCAACCAAGAGAGAAACAAAGAAAUGUAACUUAACCAGUUUGAUGAACAGAAGCUGCUGUUGCGGAAUGAGAUAGAACAUUGGUUAUUGAAUAAUGUAAUCACCUCUGUUUGUACCCUACUUACUGUUUGCAUGAGUUAAUGAGCCUGCAAUUGGCCAGGUCCAUAACUGUUUGCAUGCUUCCCACAUCAAGAUGGUGGUAGUGGUACAUCUUUGUGUUUCCUUGACCUUAUCCAAUAUUCAUCAUUUUUGGUCCCACACCAUGUGCUUGACAGUUGUUUCGAUUUUACCUCUUUUUUUUUUUUCUUUUUUUUUCCUUUCUAUCUUUCAGAUCAGCAUUUUUGUCUUGAUUCUUGAAUAGUUGAAUAUGUAUGUGUGGGUGGGUAUAUAUAGUACUUAGAUUUUGUUUAAUUUUCUAUUGCUAACUUGAUUAUUUGUGGCAUUAAUUUAAUAUGAUUUACAUCUUUUUGGUUGUAGUGUUGAUGAGUUGCCUUUAUAUGAUGACCCAAUUUUUUUUUUGGUCUUCAUUUGUUUAAUUAUGAGAAAAAUAAAAUAGUAAUAAGAUUGGUCAUUUUGGCUAAACAAUUAAUGAACUAAUGGAGUAUAUCUCAAUUUGGGUAAACAAUUAAUGAAAUUUGAGGGGUGUGAAAAGCUUAACUCAAUAAGAAAAGCGAUACCUCUUCUAAAAAAAAAAUAAGAAAAGUGAUACGAAAAAUCACUACUCGUUGGAUUAUUUAUAUGGAUGGCCCAUCCCACUGAAGAGUAAAGCGGCUUACGGCCCAAUUUAAUGAGCCCAUUGCCGACUCGUUGCUCUCCCUACGCGCUUUAAAUCUCGUACAAAUCACAGCCAACCAUAUAUUAUAAACGAGGCUCGCGGUUAUUCCAUCGAACAUGGGUCCCAGCAUGCCCCGUCCAUAUCAUAAAUUUCCAAAAUUUGUCUUCAAUCGGUUAAACAUAAGUUUCAAAAUUCUUUCCAAAAAAAAAAAGAAAUUGCCAAUACCAAUCCUUUAAAGUUUAAAACAUCCAAAAGGGGGAAAAAGCUUUUUUUGAGUCGUCCAUAUCAUAAAUUUCGACUAAAGUUGGGACAUGGCAUGUGGUAGACAUGUGGAUUGAUUGCAUAUGUUAUUUGAGUCGUUGUAUCAUCGGCUUCACAUUAUUAAUAAGCUUUUUUUUUCACCCAAAUUCUUCUAAGAAUUAUGAGCAUAUUUUUUAGCAUAAUUGUUGGCUGAUCAGAAACUCUCGAAAGUUCGCCUAUAAUUUAGAUUAAACCAGCAAUUAACAUGAGAAGUUAGGGUGGCAGGCAGGACAAUGGGAACCAACUCAAAUCUGGUUCCAUUAGCAAGCAGCAGCCAAAUUCCAAGAUUCUCAACAAUUUUAGGGACCUGCUCAGGAUGAUAUUCUGAGUCUCAUUUUCAUUUUCAUUUACUGAAAAUAAGUUGAAUAACUGUUCGGUACAAUGUUUUAAUAAAAUGAAUUAUGAAAUAAAAAAUACAGAUUUUACUUUUGUUUACUCAAAAAGUUGAAGAACGACCUUUUUAUGGUUUUGUUGAAUUUCAAGAAUGGAAGCCAUUCUCUCAUCUUUAUCUCAGAUUAGCGUCCAUGGUAAUUAAAAUGGUUUUUGUAUCAAAUUGACAAGGUUGAAACAUCUAAUGCUGCAAUGGGUUUUGUGAUUAUUUUAAAUUUGAAAGUUAAAAUUUGAUAAAACUAAUAAGUUUUAUUGAGCAGAAGAUGAGUGGAAGGACUUUUUCUUUGAUUUUUAGCCGAACAAAAAGAUAAAAUAAAAUGUUCAAGGACUUAUAAAAAAAAUGUCGUCAUAUUUUGCUUGUACCAAUGAAACAGUAGUUGUGAAAAAGGAUUAAGAUAAUAUUUUCAAAUGAGAUUUUUCUCUAUACUUUAUCAUACCUUUUAUUUGAAUAUCUUUUUUCGUAUAUAAGUUUAUGAUUUCAUUUAUCAGAUGCUCUAUAAUAUAUUUCAUUUACUGAAAUUUUUUAUUAUUAAAUGUAAUGAACAAUUGAAUUUUUUUAUAAGUGUUUACUGUGUGAUACCAAAAAAUAAAUUAACUUUAUAUAAUUCAUUGACAUAAAUAUAAACUGUAUGUUUAAGUUAACAAAAAAAAAAGUUUCAAUCCAAUGCUACCGAACAAGUAUUACAGUUUUUAUAUUUAAAAUAUAAGUUUCAAAAACUCAUACUGAACACAUAUUUAUAUUUAGAAUACUGGUUUCAAAAACAUCAUUUUUAUUUUUGUUUUUGUUCUAUAAAAACAUCAAUUGACAAUAAUAAAGACAAAGAAUUGAAAAUUUUAAUAAGAAUUAAUCUAACUACUCUCUUUAAAAGGAAAAAAAGAAAAAAGAAAAUAUCUAACUACACUCACUUUCUAAAAAUAUAAAUACAUAUAAUUACACUAAAACCCCUAUAGAUUUUUAUUUUACCAAACAAUUAUGUGAUUAAUAUUUAUUUAUAAAAUAUAACAAUUAUGUGAUUAAUAUAAUAUUAAUUUUAUAAUCUCAACUCAAUGGUCAUAUCAAGAGCAUAUUUCAUUAUUUUAUUUUUAAUCUACAAUUGAGAUGUCACACCAUGGAGUUAAAGCGGUUGUUAUCAUUUUGUUUUCUGAUUUAAUUUCUAUUUUAAAAAUAAUUUUAGACCCCGUGAGCAUUCAACGAAUGAUUUGCGAGUUUGGAGGAGUCCAUGCAUAUGGGGCCCACUGGUUGUUUGAUGAUUGAUUAUGUCACAUGAUUCCUGCCACAUACGAUUAUUAUCCACCCUUUAUCUCCUUUUUUUUUCUUUAAUAAAUAACCCUCUUUACUCAUUUCACUUCCAAUUUCAUGUUCAUGCCCUUACACUAUUGAUUUAUCUAUUUUUUAUUUCACACAUUUUUUGUUUACUCUUCCUCAUGUUAUUGUCCCUUUCUUUUUCUUUUCUUUUUCCUUAGCAGUAAUGUUCCCAAAUUUAAUCGAGAAACAAAGAUAUAAAUGAUAGAACUUAUUAGUUUGAUAAUUUAUAAACUCGCAAUAAAUGGUACUCAUUUUCAUUCCUAGAUAAAUGCAAUACGACCGUGUACAGAAUACGUCGAGGUUUGGGAAAAACGUGGUCCUCUAGCAUUUUUAUUAAGAUUAGGGAUUUAACUGAAAUUUAAUUCCUUUAAAAUGUGAAGGUUACGUUUUGCACCCUUUGAAUUUACAGUUUCUUAUGUUUGGCAUCUCAAUUUGGCUUCUCUCGAAUAUGGUCCACGUUAAACCAAAAUUAUAAUUGCACCACUAAAUAUGAUAUGACAGUACUGGAAAACUAUUUGAAGUGGAAAGUUAGUGAGUUUCUAUUUUUUUAAGGAUAUAUUUUAAGUAUUAUAGAGAUAAAAAUUAACUAUCUACCUAAGUAACCAAGCGAGCAAUUUAAACUUUAGACCUCUUUUACAUCAACGGGUUAUGUUUGGCAGACUCAAUUUGUCAAUAACUAGAUAUAUGUUAUGACAGACUCAAUUUGGGGCAGAUUCUAGGGUAAGGAAACUAAAAAUGCUUAUUUUCGAAGGUGAGGAUGCCUAUGGAUGGGUGUAUAGGGUAGAGCGCUAUUUCGCCAUCAAUGGACUCUAAGAAAGGGAAAAAUUGAUGGCGGCGGCGUUAUGUUCGGAGGGAAAGGCCCUUGCGCAGUUUCAAUGGCGAGAACAACGAAAACCGUUGAGGUCAUGGGAUGAGUCUAAAGAUCGGCUAUUGGAGAGGUUUCAGGGCACUCAAGACUCAAGAGGGAGAUUUGCAUGAACAAUUUUUUACUUUGACCCAGGAUAGAAUGGUUAUGGAGUAUAAGGAGAAGUUUGAGUUGCUAUCAGGGCGUUUAUGGGGAAUUCCAGAGGCGGUAUUGGAAGGAAAUUUUAUGAAGGGACUGAAGCCAGAAAUCCGAGCCUCGCUACGCUUGCUAAGGCCGAGAGGGUUAAGGGAGUCAAUAAAGUUGGCACAAAUGGUUGAGGAUAAGAACACAAUAGAACGGGUUAAUAGGAGCAAUUCGGUCAAUUUUUCAUACCAAAACAGCACGCCAUUGGUAGGACAGAAAACCCAGACUUUGGGGUUUCAGCGAGAGUUCCAAAGUACACCACUAGGAGGCCAGAAAAUGCAAAUGGUGGAUUUACAGAGAGAUUCCCAAAGGGAUUGGGAUAGUGAGGCACGACUGGGGGUGACUUUCGAACACCUCAUGGAGACAGAGAUUCAGGAUAAAAGGGCGAAGGGGUUGUGUUUUCGAUGUGAUGAGAAAUUUUCACUAGGGCAUCGAUGUAAGGAUAAAUCACUACAAGUCCUGACUGUGUGUGAUGAGGAAGAAGGCUGGAAAGAAGCCGAAGAAGAAGACGCAAUAGUUUCCUAGAUUUCACCUUGAGGACAAGGUGUCUUUUUGGGAGGGGAGUAAUGUUUGACCAAUGAAAAUUUAAGUGCAAUUAUAAAGAGGCAGGGGCACUUUAGUAAUCUUAGGGGCGGGGGCAGUUUAGUAAUUUUAUUAUUAAUUAGGGUUCAGGUAUAAAUAAGAGAUUUUGGAGUCACCUAGAAUUUAUGUUGAGUUUUAUCUAAUGUUAAGAAUAAUUAGGAGUUUUGGGAGAUAUUAACCUACCUCUCGAAUUGUAGGUCAAGAUUAUUAUUUAUUUUUAUCAAUUAAAAAAAAAUCAGCCCUAAUUUACCCCCAAGUCCUGCCAUAAUGGAAUUUGUGUUAUUGACCUCUUCUUUUUUCCCUUUUCCUUCUUCUUGUAACAACUUCUUUAUGAAACAUGUCUUUGCGUCUGGCUCUUGUCUUACUAUGAACCUGCAGUGGAGUACUUGGCAACUACUAGAACCCUGCCACGACUAAUAGAUGUUGUUAAGAGUUCCACAAAGGAGAAGGUGAGAUCUGGAUUCUUGGUAGUAUUUAAUUUUAGCAAAGGCUUACUGCUAGGUUGUCAGGGUGGUGGUCUUGAUCCUUAGGAACUUGCUUCUCAAAGGUAAUUUUGCUGCUCAAAUGAUAGACCUUGGGCUACCUCAAGUUGUUCAAAGUUUAAAAGCACAAGCAUGGAGUGACGAGGUAAAAGAAGUUGCUCGCUGUUUACUUUUUCUUUUUCGGUUGAUUGCAUAAUUAUUUAGUUAAUAGAUCGAGUAAAAUUAAGGGAGUUGAUGGCGCUGUUUGCUACUGAUUGGUGCAUUUGGUGAUCAUUUUAAAUGGAUUAAAAUUUUACUUCGGCUUCUGUUAAGCAUGGUGUUGUAGGAUAUUCAAUUGCUUGUGUGAUGACAAAAACUACUGUUAUUUUUGUUCAUUAUAUGAAUAUUAGUGUUGUUUUGGUGCAUACUUGAUUUUGAUACCAUUAUGCCCUAUUAUUCCUUUGUUCAGCACGGAAUAAUUUUGUUUCCAUCCACACUUUGAUUGAAGCUCUGGCUGGCGAAAGUGCUGACUACUAUUGCACGGACCUACACUAUCUUUGACAAGGUGAGAUUGUAGAAUUGUGGUUUUUUUAUUACCACAUAUUUUCUUUGGCCUUGAACCAUUCAAUUUUGGCAAGGCUUGACUCUUUUUCCUCAUGAUGAACUGAAGUUGUAUACUGCUUAUGUGGAAUCUUGGUAUCCAACACAAAAUUAAGAUUUCAGCCUUCAAACUUAUAAUGCAAGAUAUUAGAUUGAGUUUGGGCGGCUCCUGAAUAGUACCAAAAAGAAUGAGUCUUGACCACCAUUGCUGAAUUUUGUUUAACCUUUAACACAAUGAUGACUUCAUCUUGCUACAUUUACAUAUAAUAGAUUUCAAUAUCUUCUUAGGAUUUACUGGAGUGUCUGAAUCAACUGGAAGAAGGUUUGAAGGAUAAUAUUAAGAGAUUGAGUUCUUUCGACAAGUACAAGCAAGAAGUCUUCCUUGGCCAUCUCAACUGGUCCCCCAUGCACAAAGAUCCCCUAUUCUGGCGUGAUAAUAUCACAAACUUUGAAGAAAAUGAUUUCCAGGUAUUUCUUUUCCCCAUGGACGGUGUUUCUAGUUUUUAUUUUUCAUUUUUCUGCUUUAACUUCACUGAGUGACUUGGCAUCAUUUUGUAUAAAGAAAUACAAAUUUUCUGUAAUACUAACGGAUAAUCUUCUCUCUCAGAUUCUAAGGGUCCUCUUAACAAUUUUGGAUACAUCCAGUGAUCCACGAGCUCUUGCUGUCGCCUGCUUUGAUCUCUCACAGUUUAUCCAGUACCAUCCAGCUGGGCGGGUCAUUGUGACGGACCUCAAAGCCAAGGAACGGGUGAUGAAAUUGAUGAACCAUGUUAGCAUAUGUGAGUAACAGAGCAGGGGAUUCCAGCUCAAGAGCUGACGUGUCAAUAUUUGUUAUACAUGUUGCUUAACGUGUAACAAGCUGAUUUCAGUAGUUGAUAACAGAUUCUAGUAGCUUCAUUAAUUAGUUAGAAAGAUUCGUUUAAGCUCAUAUAUAAACCAACACUUGUAAUCUUUUUCAUCAACUUGAUUGAAUACAAAUUCAUUGAUAUCUGUAUAUUCUUUGUUAUUUUUCUUUCUCUUUCUAUCGUUUUCUUAUCUACCAAACACAUCAACAACAUUUCUAACAUGGUAUCAGAGCCAAUGGCUAACUCAAAUCAAAAUUCUCAUUCCUAUAACUUUGUCACUCCGAUCAAGUUGGAUCACAACAACUUCAUGGUGUGGAGGAAUCAAGUUCUGGCUUCAAUCAAAGGAAACGGUCUGGAAGGUUUCAUCAAUGGAACUAAUCCGUGUCCUGAUCAGUACCUCAAUCAAGUAAGUGAAGCAUCAAGUUCAGCUCAAGGUAAUUCUAGAUCUAGAACUGAAAAUCCUGCGUUUGCUUUGUGGAUUAGAACUGACCAGCUACUGUUAAGCUGGAUGUUCUCGUCUAUUCAAGAAAAUCUACUUACCUCAGUAAUUCAAUGUGUUUCUUCUCAAGAACUUUGGGAAACUCUUACACGCAUGUUCAUCUCUCAAACUCAGGCAAGAAUUGUGCCACUAAAAAUGCAGUUACAGACUUCUAAGAAAGGGUCUAUGUCAAUGAAUGCUUAUUUUUCUAAGAUGAAACGUCUUGCUGAUAGUUUAGCUAUUGCUGGAAAGCCUGUUGAACACAAUGAUAUGAUCUCAUACAUUCUAACUGGUUUAGACUCUCAGGAUUAUGAGUCACUAGUUACUAUUCUGCUUGCUAGAAGUGAUAAUCUGAGUCUAGAUGAAUUAUAUUCCUUGUUAUUGAGUCAUGAAAUGAGGAUUGAGCAAAAGAAAGGGAAGAUCAAUGCUGAUGUAAUUCAUAAUCUCUCUGCUAACAUUGCACAAAAGAAUCAAAAUCUUCCAAGAGGUGGAUCUGGUAAUUUUGGUUUUCCAAGAGGAAAUGGAGGGUUUAACAAUGCUAAUCAAGGAGGAAAUAAUGUCAAUCAUGAGUCAAAUAUAGUGUGCCAAAUUUGUUUCAUUCCAGGUCAUGGUGCUACAAAAUGCAGAAACAGAUUUAAUCCUGCAUUUGUACCACAGAGGAAUUUCGGCAGAGGUAACUUCAGACCUGGUUUUGGAAACUAUGGCAGAGGCUUCACUCCAAAUAAUUUUCCUCCAAGACCUUUUAAUGGUUUUGGAAGAAAUAAUAAUGGUCAAUAUGCUGGAUCACCAAGGGGUUAUGGUUUUCAAAGUGGUUUUCAAGGCCAUGUCACUUAUCCAAAUUCUAAUGUUGCUGGUGCUAACUCUCAAUCUUCCUCAUUUAACUCUCACAACUCUGGUUCUGAUCAUCCAGUAGCUUUUAACUGUUUCAAUGGAACAACUAAUGCUUCUCAGUUUCAGUCAUCAACAAGCUUUCAUACUGAUUCUUCUCCUGAAAUUGUGGAAGAUCCGUCCUGGUACAUAGACAGUGGAGCCUCUACUCACAUCACAGCUGACUCAGGUAAACUCUUUAACAUGCAGCCUUAUUGUGGUACAGAAUCACUUCUGGUUGGAAAUGGAAAUGCAUUAGAAAUUAAACAUAUUGGAUCUACAGUACUUGAUACACUGACAACUGAACCUUUACUCCUAAAAAAUGUCUUACAUGUUCCAAAUAUCACCAAGAAUUUAUUAAGUAUUUCACAACUUUUAGCUGACAACAAUGUUAUUGUUGAAUUUGUUGGAAUUCUUUGUUUCAUUAAGGCCAGGAAAACAGGAACUCUGUUACUUAAGGGAGUAGCUACUGGAGGCUUGUAUCAAAUAGAAGAUUUGUCAAGUGAAGAUUCUCAAGUUUCUUGGUGUCGUAGUCAAAUAAAUAAACCUGUAUCAAUGUUUGCUACUCUCUCUAGUUCAGUCAAUUUCAAUCCCUCUCCUGUCGAGUCAUGUAAUCCAGCAGCUUUAACAAUGUCUGUGUCAUCAGUUGGUGUUGAUUUACUUCACAAGAGACUUGGACAUCCAGCCUCACACACACUUCAAACUGUUAUUAAGACUUGUAAUUUGUUUGCUGGAAUUAAUAAAACUCCAAAAAUUGCCUUCUGUGAUGCAUGUCAGUUUGGCAAAAAUCAUCUUAAACAUUUUGAUUCUGUCAUUACCAAAACAACAGCACCUCUGUAAUUAUUAUAUGCAGAUCUUUGGGGUCCUUCACAUACAACUUCCACUCAAGGCUACAGCUAUUACUUGUCAAUAUUAGAUGAUUACAGUAGGUUCACUUGGAUUUUUCCUUUAAAAGCCAAGUCUGAUUCAUUACAAGUUUUCACUGAUUUCAAAACCUUCAUUGAGAAACAUCUUGAGAGAAGAAUUAAGACUGUCCAAACAGAUUGGGGAGGGGAAUUCAGAUCAUUUUCUUCAUUAUUAACAACCUCUGGUAUCCAUUUCAGACACCCUUGUCCUCACAUUCACCAUCAAAAUGGUAAAAUAGAGAGAAAACAUAGGCACAUUGUUGACAUUGGUCUCACCUUACUAGCUCAAUCAAAUUUGCCACUUACUUUUUGGUGGAAUGCUUUCCACACUGCUGUAUUUCUCAUAAACAGAUUACCAACUCCAGUGUUGAAUAAUGUCUCACCCUAUUUCAAACUCUUUCAUCAAACUCCAGAUUACUCAUUCCUAAGAGUUUUUGGCUGUGCUUGUUACCCUUAUCUUAGACCCUAUAAAAAACAUAAGCUAGAGUUUAGGACUGGUAGAUGCAUCUUCAUUGGAUACAGUCCUAACCAUAAGGGCUAUCAGUGUUUACACUCAUCAGGAAGGGUAUAUAUAUCCAAUCAUGUAGUGUUUAAUGAGAAUUCUUUCCCAUACCAGCCUGGUGUUGAUUUUUCCUCUGUGUCAAUGUCUUGUUCAAGUACAAACAAUCCAGAGUCAACUUCUUCUAUACAAGUUCUUUCAGCACCUCCCUUAACAACAGAGGUUCCUGCUCAAUCUCCACAUUCAUCACAAGAAGUUUCUGGUAAUUUCAACUCACCUUUAUCUCAGCAUUCUUUACCUUCUUAUUCUUCAAAUCAUAAUUCACCAGAUUCUUUACAUUCAAACAUUCCAGUUCCUUUUGUUCCUGCCCAUCAGCUACCCAAUUUUCAGCCACCUGGUCAUAGCAUGAUCACCAGGUCCAAAGCUGGAAUUUUUAAACCAAAAACAUACAUCACUGCACUUUUAGCCCAACCAUCUGAACCCAACUCAGUAAAUCAAGCACUGCAAGAUCCAAAAUGGUUUAAUGCUAUGCAGGAGGAGUUUAAAGCUCUUCAAGCCAAUCAAACUUGGGAUUUAGUUAUUCCUACAGCUGCUGUCAAAGUAGUAGGAAACAAAUGGAUUUUCAGAAUUAAAUACAACUCAGAUGGAUCAAUCUCAAGAUAUAAGGCAAGACUUGUUGCAAAGGGGUUUCAUCAAACAUAUGGGAUCGAUUACAGUGAAACUUUCAGCCCUGUUGUUAAGGCUUCAACAGUGAGAGUGAUAUUGAGUUUAGCUGUGAUGAACAACUGGAUAAUAAGGCAGGUUGAUGUUAAUAAUGCAUUUCUUAAUGGCAUUCUUGUUGAAGAUGUAUACAUGGCUCAACCAGAAGGCUUUGUGGAUCCAGAAAAGCCUCAUCAUGUGUGCAAAUUAAAGAAGGCUCUAUAUGGACUCAAGCAAGCUCCAAGGGCAUGGUUUGACAGGUUCAGAAGAGCUAUGACAUCUCAGUGGCAUUUUGAACAUUCAAAGUCAGAUUCCUCAUUAUUUUACAGAUGGGAUGCAGGUGAUAUUCUACUGGUCUUAGUAUAUGUAGAUGAUAUUAUCAUUACAGGCUCUAAUCAAAAUAGUGUGUUGAAAGUAAUCUCUGAUAUGCAAGCUACUUUUGCUCUUAAAGAUUUAGGAGAGCUUAGCUAUUUUCUUGGUAUAGAGGUUACUAAAAAUUCGACAGGCCUUCAAUUAUCUCAGAGCAAAUACAUAGUUGAUUUGCUGAACAGGCAUGAAAUGGUCACUUGCAGUCCAGUACCAACUCCCAUGGUCACUUCUCAUUCACUUGUUAAGAACUCAGGAGUUAUCAUUCCAAAUGCUUCUCAGUACAGGAGUGUUGUGGGGGCUCUGCAGUAUGUGACUUUGACCAGGCCAGAAUUAGCUUUUUCAGUUAAUAAGUUGAGUCAAUUUCUUUCAGCUCCAACAGAAGAACAUUGGCAAGCAUGUAAGAGGAUACUCAGAUAUUUGAAGGGAACAAUUCACUAUGGCUUACAACUUCAUUCAACUGGAAGUCAGCAUAUGCAAAUAAAUUGUUUCAGUGACUCUGAUUGGGCUUGUGACAGAGAUGAUCGAAAAUCAGUAGCAGGGUAUGCUGUGUUUCUUGGACCUAACCUUGUUUCAUGGUCUUCAAAGAAGCAACAUGUAGUCUCCAGGUCAAGCACAGAGUCAGAAUACAGAGCCUUAGCUCUGGCAACAACUGAAGUUAUGUGGGUAAAAGGGUUACUUACUGAGCUGAAGAUUAAAAUUGAUCACACACCCAUUAUGUGGUGUGACAAUCAGGGAGCAAUAUCUUUGGCUAUGAAUCCAGUGUAUCAUGCCAAAACAAAACACAUUGAGCUAGAUAUACACUUCAUUCGAGAAAAGGUCCAAGCUAAUCAAAUUGAAGUUAACUAUGUGCCUAGUGAAGAUCAAGCUGCAGACAUAUUCACAAAAGCUUUGACCUAUGGACAAUUCAGUUAUCUUAGAAGCAAGCUGAACAUAUUUCCUACACAGUUCAGCUUGAGGGGGGAUGUUAGCAUAUGUGAGUAACAGAGCAGGGGAUUCCAGCUCAAGAGCCGACGUGUCAAUAUUUGUUAUACAUGUUGCUUAACGUGUAACAAGCUGAUUUCAGUAGUUGAUAACAGAUUCUAGUAGCUUCAUUAAUUAGUUAGAAAGAUUCGUUUAAGCUCAUAUAUAAACCAACACUUGUAAUCUUUUUCAUCAACUUGAUUGAAUACAAAUUCAUUGAUAUUAGUAUAUUCUCUGUUAUUUUUCUUUCUCUUUCUAUCGUUUUCUUAUCUACCAAACACAUCAACAACAUUUCUAACAAACCAUGAGAAUACCGAGGUUACCAAGAGCGCCUUACUCUGCAUCCAAAGGCUUUUCCUAGGCGCAAAGUACGCGAGCUUUUUGCAGGCCUGAAAUCUCUUUCCAUGGGGUCCAGUAUUGUUUACAAAGGAAAUGCUUGUAAUGAUUUGAUUCCAGUUUGGCUGUGGUUAGGUUGUUUAUUUAUUUAUCAAUCAUUGGAGGAAUUUAUGAAUCAGGGGAACUCGUCUGUUGAAUUUUUUUAAGUACUGUGAAGAAUUAGUUGAUUUUUUACCAUAUUUUAGAAAUUUAUUUUGUUUUUGAGAUGAGGAAUAAAUUGAUACCAUCUGUACUGACCUUUGAUAUGAAAACUACUCGGGCGCAUGAUAUAUAUCUGUUUUUGUUCAUUUCUGUAUCUUGCUGCUGACUGAAGCUGGAUUUUCAGGCUCGUUAUUAUCAUUUAUUCUUUUGAAGUUGCAAAAUGAAUUCUCAAUAUUUUCAGGGGAAAUGCUUAUAAUUAGCGCGGAAUUAAACAUUGAUUGUGUACUGUAGACUUCCAAAAGGCAAUUUAUUUCCAUUGAUUUGAGUAAACUAAAUCUCCGUGAUGGUAACACUUAUUUAAUCACUUAUUAAAGAAUUCUUUGAAAAUUUGAUGAUUGUUGUUGAAAACAUUUACUAAUUGUAAAUGCGUUAAAAAUUAUUUGAUUCAUUUAGUAUCACUAAUAGUGAUUUAAUUUUUCAUCUUGAUUGAACGAUGAAUUUUGUAUUAAUCCGGAAAAGUGCAACUGUUACUCCAACCACGCGUCGCUUAAAGGUUCGUGUAAUUUGAGACGACUUGUCGUCUAUGUUUUAUUCCGGACCGGUUCACGCAAACUUUAAAGCUUUCGAGUACUCGCGGAGCGGCGAUCGCAAAUCCCUCAAAAGAACACACUCAAGGAAUGGAGACUGAGAAAGUACAGGAGAAGGAGAAGGAGAAGGAGAAGGAGAAAGUGUGCAAGAGGUGUAAGCAAACGUACACAGCUUCAUCAAACAGCUCUUCUUCUAGCCGCUUUCACCCUUCCUUCUUCGUUUGCCGUCGUCACGACGACCAGAAAAGGUACCCACCCCACUCCCUCUUUUGAUCAUCAUUUCGCAUACACUUUUCUUCAAUUUAUUUUUUUAAAAAUUUUUUUCUCAUGUACCCUUGUGAUUCUUUUGCAUUCUUUAUUGGAUGUUAUUAAUUAUUAUUAAAAAAAUUCUAAAAAAUAAAUAAAAUUCACGGCAGCUAGGAGUUGAAUGAAACUCUUGAGUCCAGUCCAGUUUGGUAGGAUUCUUUGAUUUACAAAGCAUCGAGUAAUCAGAUUUGCUGAGCAUUCAUUUUGCUUUGUUAUGUUUCCAUGUAUCAAUUUUCAGUUCAUACCAAAUCUACUUUUUGAGGUUCGUUAUUCAUUUCCUUUAAUUCUUCGUCAUUGGGUUUCUACUGCAUUGUAAUGCUGUACACAAGGUUAGACUCCUUGCAAGGCACUUCUAUUCACUUACUACUUUCAUGUGGGGGGCGGGGGGCGGGGGGAAGUACAUUUAUGGACUCUUUUUGAUAUUGUGGGAUUUGUGUCUGGGUGUGAGUGCACACAUUUUGAUCGGUAGCUAACUAAUGGAUGUCAUUGCUUGCAGUUUAAAAUGUAGAAAAAUAAUUUGUGUCUGAGUGUGAGUGCACAAAUUUUGAUCUGUAACUAAUUAAUGGAUAUCAUUGUUUAAAAUGUGAAAAAUUUAGUUUAUUCUAUGCUAGUUUUUCAUAACAUGAGUUGGACUGAGCUCAGUCAGUUGAUGCUCCAUGUUUUUGAUUCAUUGAAGGUACUAUGAAUUGGGACCUGAUGAUCCGCCAUAUGCUGCCAAGUUUUACGACUGCUGCGGGGCCGAGGAUGCUGAUGCCUCUGGUUGUACCACUGGCUUCCAUGUCUCUUAUGAUGAUGAUUAACAUAAUUUUUACCUCCUAAUCACCUGUAACUAUAGAUUAAAUUUGUAGAUAUCUCCGUGUCUCCUCCUGUGACCCACAUCAUUUCCACUGUUCUACCACUGUAUAAUUCAGGCCUUUCAUCAGUUUAUCUCUUCAUUUCUCAACAUUUUUCUUUUUUUUUUUUCCUGGGGUUGAUCUGGCAUGAAUUCGACAUGUGCUGCUAUGGCCAACUUUCGAGGGAUGAUGGUAAAUCUAAACCCUUUUCCAUAAACUUCUGCAAUUUGAAGAGCUUAUACUGGAAGCCAUUGCCUUCCCACAUCUUAAGUAAAGAGUAAUGCUACUUUGACAGAAAUAGGUUUACAAAAUUUUGACAUACUUAUGAAAUACUAAAUUACCUUUUAGUUUAUUUACAGAUAGCGAAUUGGGCUUUUUACAUAUUUUUGUAAGAAUCAACCUAAACUUAUAUUCAGGAAAGAAAUAACUGCAGAGGAGAAAAAAUUAAUGAGGCGAUAGAAAAUUAUGCCAAAAUUAAUAGUAAGGCAUUUGAGAUUGCAGUAGAACUUCUCAAUAAUCAUAUUAUUAGGAUCAAUUGAUUUUGUUACUAUAAGGAGGUUAAAACUUUGUAGAGGUUUAGUUCAAAAUUACUAUCUUGACUUCAUUAUUCUUAGUGUAAGUAAGAUAAUUAAUAAAUAAUUAAUGAAGUGUGUCAAUUCUAUGAAGCUUCAAACAUGCUUGAAUACUUAAAAAUAUUUUGUCUUCAACAAGAAGGUGUGUAUAUUAUUGAAUUAUUUUUGCAAUAUACAAAUAAUUAUUAUUAUGUGGAGGCAAUUUCAAAGAUGUGAUAACAAUUUUAAAGAAUAAAUCAUUGUCUCAAACAAUUUUAAAAAAUAUUUUUUUCUAUACUAAAUCUUUUAAAGUAACAAAUAUGUUUUGCAAUACACAUAUAAUUAUUAUUAUGUGGAGAUAAGUUACUAAAGUCAGAAUCUAAAACACUUAUUACAAUUAGAGUUAAUUCUUAUUUAUAAUUUACUUAAAUUAAAGUUAAAAUUUUUUUAUCACUAUAAAAGAGUUAUUUCUAUAUAGAUAAUCACUAUAAAUACAGAGUAUCACUAUAAAAAAGUUUUACGAUCAAUCAUCCGUCAUAAUAAGCACAAGAAUGACAAGUUUUGAUUCUCAAAUAAAUUCUUAUAAAACACAACCAUGGAUUAAGAUUGUCGGGAAAUGGGAAUGCAAUACAAAGUAAUUAAUGACACAGUCUCAGUGUUUCACUUACACGUGAAGCAAACGAAACAAGAAGAAUCUUAAGAAAAAAACACUCACCAGAACGCAAGGUUCAAUCCCGGUUUACUACGUCAACCUCCAUUCCUCAAAGAGAUUGGAAACACGUCAACCUUCAUCUCCACCAGUCUCCAUCUCCACGAAUAAGAAUUCUGCGCCCAUUUGCACUAUUUGAAUCGAGUGGAAGCUUUUUAAGCGAAUGGCAAC